rnacentral:rRNA from 1 species
UACGUAGGUGGCGAGCGUUGUCCGGAUUUACUGGGCGUAAAGAGCGCGCAGGCGGUCGAUCAAGUCGGAUGUGAAAGCCCCCGGCUCAACUGGGGAGGGUCAUUCGAUACUGAUCGACUCGAAGGCAGGAGAGGGAAGCGGAAUUCCCGGUGUAGUGGUGAAAUGCGUAGAUAUCGGGAGGAACACCAGAGGCGAAGGCGGCUUCCUGGCCUGUUCUUGACGCUGAGGCGCGAAAGCGUGGGGAGCGAACCGGAUUAGAUACCCGUGUAGU